ensembl:misc_RNA Metazoa_SRP Metazoan signal recognition particle RNA
ACUGCGGUGGAGCACGCCUGCAGUUCCAGCCACUUGGGAGGCUGAGUAGGAGGAUCUCUUGAGCCCCGGAGUUCUGGGCUGUAGUGCUGUACUGCAGUCGAAAGUCCAUGUUAAGUUCAGCAUCAAUAUAUUGACCUACUGGGAGUGGGGGACCACCAGGUUGCCUAAGAGGGGUGAACAGACCCAGGUCAGAAAUGGAGCAGCUCAAAACUCCCAGGCUGAUCAGAAGUGGGAUCAUGCCUGUGACUAGCCACUGCACUCCAGCCUGGGCAACAUAGUGAGACCCUGUCUCUA